UGGGGAAUAUUGCACAAUGGGCGAAAGCCUGAUGCAGCGACGCCGCGUGGGGGAUGACGGCCUUCGGGUUGUAAACCCCUUUCAGCAGGGAAGAAGCGCAAGUGACGGUACCUGCAGAAGAAGCACCGGCUAACUACGUGCCAGCAGCCGCGGUAAUACGUAGGGUGCGAGCGUUGUCCGGAAUUAUUGGGCGUAAAGAGCUUGUAGGCGGUUUGUCGCGUCUGCUGUGAAAAUCCGGGGCUCAACCCCGGACUUGCAGUGGGUACGGGCAGACUAGAGUGUGGUAGGGGAGACUGGAAUUCCUGGUGUAGCGGUGAAAUGCGCAGAUAUCAGGAGGAACACCGAUGGCGAAGGCAGGUCUCUGGGCCACUACUGACGCUGAGAAGCGAAAGCAUGGGGAGCGAACAG
rnacentral:rRNA from 1 species